UGUAACCUACGGGGGGCAGCAGUAGGGAAUUUUCGUCAAUGGGCGCAAGCCUGAACGAGCAAUGCCGCGUGAACGAGGAAGGUCUUCGGAUCGUAAAGUUCUGUUGAAGGGGAAAAAGAGCGGAGAGAGGAAAUGAACUCCGAUUGAUAUUACCCUUCGAGGAAGUCACGGCUAACUACGUGCCAGCAGCCGCGGUAAUACGUAGGUGGCGAGCGUUAUCCGGAAUGAUUGGGCGUAAAGAGUGCGUAGGCGGCCUGCUAAGUCUGGAGUGAAAGGUACCGGCUCAACCGGUACAGUCGCUGGAA
rnacentral:rRNA from 1 species